CGGGGCGUAGCGUAGCCUGGUAGCGCGCUUGGUUCGGGACCAAGAGGUCCGCGGUUCAAAUCCGCGCGCCCCGACCA
rnacentral:tRNA from 1 species